CUUAUUUACCACCCUGAACACGUUCUGUCUCAUCUGAUCUUGGGGGCCUAAGUAGUACUUGGAUGGGAGACUGCCUGAGAAUACCAGGUGCUAUAAGU
rnacentral:rRNA from 1 species